UGUUAAAGGAACAGCAGCCCACCAGCUGGCCCUGCCCCUCUGACCUUCACAUGUUGAAGUGAAAAUGAGAAUUAGUUUCUUAUUCUUCCGGAGACCUCUUGAAGAGCAAAGUGAAGUAUGUUCCUUUUUCACACAGCUGUGCCUGGAUGCUUAGCUGACUCUGGAAUUCAUCUUCUUUGCCGCUGGCAUUUCAAGCCACAACUAAGCCAGUCAUAAUGGAAAUCUCAAGGGAAAUAUCUUAAUUAGUGCUAAUAAAAAUAUUGCAACAU